rfam:Myotis brandtii contig194338, whole genome shotgun sequence.
GGUAGUUCUUGGGUGACACAGCCCUGAAUUGGGCUCCCUCCUCUCUGGUUCCAGGGUGCAGCACCCGAGAAACACC